rnacentral:rRNA from 1 species
AUUGAACGCUGGCGGCAUGGCUAAAACAUGCAAGUCGCACGAGAACCCCGUAAGGGGGACAGUGGCGAAAGGGCGAGUAAUACAUUCGAACGUGCCCCAAGGUGAGGGAUAGGUAUGGGAAACUGUACGUAAUACCUCAUGUGAUCUCCGGAUGAAAGCCGUAAGGCGCCUCGGGAGCGGCGAAUGUCCUAUCAGGUAGUUGGUGGGGUAAUGGCCUACCAAGCCGAAGACGGGUAGCGGGUGUGAGAGCACGGCCCGCCGCAUCGGGACUGAGACACGGUCCAGACUCCUACGGGAGGCAGCAGUGGGGAAUUUUGGACAAUGGGCGCAAGCCUGAUCCAGCCAUUCCGCGUGCAGGAUGAAGGCC